CAUUAUUCUUAUCUCCUCGUUUCUUCUUUCUUCUUCUCCUCCCUUCUUCUGUUCGAAACCAAGAGAUGACUUUGAGGUAAGAUUUGAGAGAAUCAUUUGUUGAAGCUAGUGAGCAUAUGAUGAAGAUGUAUAGAUGAUGGAGGAGUCUAGGUUGUUGUUGAUGAAGAAGAAAAGAUGAUUCAGGGAGCCAAGCUGGGGUUUUCCGUGAUUAUGAAUUGGGGUUUCGAAUUGGUGAUGGAUAAGAUGAAAUUGAAGAUGUGUUCGUUCUUAAUUGGUGUUUGAUGGAAGUUAUGGGGUUGUUCUGAAGUUGAUUUGAGAAUCGAAUCAAGAGCUAGGGUUCAUAAGAAAAGUUCAUAGAGAGUUUGAAGAUGAAGUUAAUGGUUUAGAGGAUUGAAUUAAUGGUGGGUUUGUUCUGAAUCGAAGAAUAAGUGGAUGUAUUGGGUUUAAUUGCAGUUUCUCUAGGAAAUUGAAUCAGUGAAUUAGGGUUCUUGAUAGAGCAUAGAUUUAGGGUUCAUGUGUUGAAUCACAGUUGCAGAAGAAUAGUCUGGAGUCACUGUUUGAGGUAACCUCUUUUUACCAAAUAGAGUUGAAUCGAAUUUAAUUUUGAAUUAUCGAAUUUGGAUAUUUGUUGGAUGCACUUUGAAUUGAAAUUUGAGUGUGCAGGAAUUGGAGUUGUUAUGAAUUAGUUGAGUAAACUAGGGAAAAUAUCUGAGUUAAUGCAAUAAUUGAGAAUGUUUAGAGUUCUACAAGGGGCAUGAAUACUGCAGGUUGGUAUGCAUUCAGGUGGAGUUGUGUUUGUCGUAGAAUUGGUAUUGUGUAGUGCAGAGAAGGAGUUAGUGGUCUAGUGCUGAACUGGUGUUGAUGUUGUUACAUGAACUGUGUUGGUAGAGUGGUUGUUGAGCUGAAGUGCAGAUUAACUAGUAUUGCAGGUGGAAGUAGUGGUGCUGAAAUGGAGAUGCAUGUGAUGAUGGUUUGAUUUAGAAUGAAUGAGUGUGUGUAGACAUUGCUGAUGAACAAGCUUGAGUAGUAUGAGCUGAACCUAGUAUUAGAAUUGUAUUGGUGGUGUUGUAGGAUGCAGGGAAGAAAUCUGGAGUUGUGGAUGAAUAAAUGUUAGAUGUACAGAAGUGAUAAUGGAGUUCAGUUCAUGGUCUGGGGAUGGAGUUGUAUUGUAGUCUUAGGAUGACCUGAGUUUGGUAAAUACAAUGGAAGGUAUUGCAAUUACAUGCCAAUGUUGAUGGGGAUAUGAGAUGGGGUAAAGUUCAGUGGAGUGAUAUACAUUGGGAAGAAUGAAGUGCAACUGUUAAUGAAGGCAUUAGCAGAUGGUGUUGGUCUCAACUGAAAUUGUUAGUGUUUAUAUAAGCUGGGUCUGAUGUGUAUGAAGGUGACUAUGUGUUUUUCAAGAUGAGAUGUGUGAUUGAAAUGUUAGAACGAGGGUUAAUUGAAUCUUCUGAGUUGUCUCUCUACUGGAAGCUUGCAACUGCAUUUGCAGGUAUUUUUGGCCCAUAAACAUUUUUGGAAAAAAUUGGCUCGAAAAGUUGUCGUAAAGCACCAGGAGGACCCUUGCUAUUCGGACCCCCGGUUUGGAUAAAGGGCACCCAGGACACUCCUUAAGACAGCUGGUAAAAGCACCCUACUCUGGAUAGGGGGCCCCUUCUUCACAAAUUCAAAUUUCAAAUUUGGCGGUAAAACAAACCAGCAUGCAUGCAGAUGAGGGUUCGCAUUCUUGGGAAGAUUUAAGGAGAUUCAAUCUCGGAUUUUUGUUGGGCUGGACUUCUUAGAGCAUAAUAGGGUCGGUAUAUGUGAUUAGAUCGAAUGAAUUGGGUUAGAUCGACCGGGAGAAGGAAACAGAGGUGUUGUGGUCACGGGUUGCUGUUGGAGUAAUUUUCGACAAUUCAGGGAGAUUAAAGGCUAGAAAAGCUUCCCCAACAUUCGUAGUUAUCUAAUAAAGAGUUUGGAAGUAUUGGGAGAGGUCAAAUAUGCGUGAAGAGAGUUUGGCAGAAAGAAAACUCCGAAACUUGAUGUGGAGAUAAACCAAGAUUUUGGGGGAGAUUUAAUCGAGUUGUGGCCUAUAAAAGGAGAGGGGAUAAGUCAUAUAAGAGGUACGCAACCUUAGGAGAAGUUUAGAGGAGAAUAGAUAGCCGAAAUCACGAGUUGAAAAUUGUUUUCUGCUGCUGCACCAAGAACACGAAGAACAUUGACGCACAAGCAACUGUUGCAGCAAACAAUCGUUGUUUCACAACAGUACCUAUGUGUCGUUCAUCACAGCGGUUGCGUUAGGCCUUUAGCUACUAUUUCUCCCUGUAAUAGUGAUUCUGCAACACCAACAAACGGUUGCGAAUCGUCUGUAUUAUCACUUUUCAUCUUUUUAAUUAUUUUUUGAGUCAUAAACAAUUAUUUUGAGAUCAUGAUUAAUAUGAGGAGCUAAACCCAUUGCUGAGACGAUAGAGGAAGCUAUUUUUCCAACAAAA